rnacentral:rRNA from 1 species
UACGUAGGGUGCGAGCGUUGUCCGGAAUUACUGGGCGUAAAGAGCUCGUAGGCGGUUUGUUGCGUCGGCUGUGAAAUCCCGAGGCUCAACCUCGGGUCUGCAGUCGAUACGAGCAAACUAGAGUGUUGCAGGGGAGACUGGAAUUCCUGGUGUAGCGGUGAAAUGCGCAGAUAUCAGGAGGAACACCGGUGGCGAAGGCGGGUCUCUGGGCAGUAACUGACGCUGAGGAGCGAAAGCGUGGGGAGCGAACAGG